AAGCCAGCUAGUGAAUCUGCUUACCUGCAAAUGUUUCUGCAGAAAUUUUAGAAAAAGCUGGCAAUAAUAAUGCCAUCUUACGAGCCUUAAAGACACUGAAGUCCUUAAGGUCCCUGAAAAUGGCUACAAUA
ensembl:snoRNA